rnacentral:rRNA from 1 species
CCCAAUACGGUUAGCGUAGGCAUCCCGAGCAGUCGAGCGGUAGCACAGAGAGCUUGCUCUCGGGUGACGAGCGGCGGACGGGUGAGUAAUGUCUGGGAAACUGCCUGAUGGAGGGGGAUAACUACUGGAAACGGUAGCUAAUACCGCAUAACGUCGCAAGACCAAAGUGGGGGACCUUCGGGCCUCAUGCCAUCAGAUGUGCCCAGAUGGGAUUAGCUAGUAGGUGGGGUAAUGGCUCACCUAGGCGACGAUCCCUAGCUGGUCUGAGAGGAUGACCAGCCACACUGGAACUGAGACACGGUCCAGACUCCUACGGGAGGCAGCAGUGGGGAAUAUUGCACAAUGGGCGCAAGCCUGAUGCAGCCAUGCCGCGUGUAUGAAGAAGGCCUUCGGGUUGUAAAGUACUUUCAGCGAGGAGGAAGGCAUUAAGGUUAAUAACCUUAGUGAUUGACGUUACUCGCAGAAGAAGCACCGGCUAACUCCGUGCCAGCAGCCGCGGUAAUACGGAGGGUGCAAGCGUUAAUCGGAAUUACUGGGCGUAAAGCGCACGCAGGCGGUCUGUUAAGUCAGAUGUGAAAUCCCCGGGCUCAACCUGGGAACUGCAUCUGAAACUGGCAGGCUUGAGUCUUGUAGAGGGGGGUAGAAUUCCAGGUGUAGCGGUGAAAUGCGUAGAGAUCUGGAGGAAUACCGGUGGCGAAGCGGCCCCCUGGACAAAGACUG